GAUGAAGAGAAGCUACCAGAAGUUGACAUUUUUGUGUGCACAACAACAGAUAUAAUGUUAGAGCUGCCAAGCAUGAUGACGAACACAAUAUUAUCAGCAAUGUCAUAUGAUUAUCCUUCCAAUAAGCUUAGUGUUUAUGUUUUUUAUGAUGGAGGCUUUGAGCUCACUUUUUAUGCUCUUGUAAGAGCUUCUCUUUUCUCUAAGCAUUGGAUUCCUUUAUGCAAAAGAUUCAACAUUCAAACCAGAUCUCCAGAGGCUUACUUUUCCUCUCACCAUUCUGGGGCCGUGCAUUAAAAUGAUCAACAAUGGUCAAAUACCAAGAAAUUAUACGAAGAUAUGAAAAGUGAGAUAGAAUCAGUAGUAGAAGAAGGCAAGAUUCUAGAUUCAAUGAGGAACCAACACAGAGGAUUCUCAGAAUGGAAUGACAACACAAGAAAGCAUAACCAUCAGCCUAUUGUGCAGAUUAUAAUUGAUGGAAGGGACAUAGAUGCUAAGAUGAUGAUGGAUUUCAGUUGCCAACUCUAGUUUAUAUGGCACGAGAGAAAUGACCCAACUUCCCUCACCAUUUUAAAGCAGGAGCCAUGAAUGCACUUGUAAGUACUUCUCUAAUCAUAAAUGUUUAAUUUCCAACAUCAUAUAUAUGUGUGUGUGUUCAAAUGAAGUUAUUGACAGA